GACGAACGCUGGCGGCGUGCUUAAUACAUGCAAGUCGAACGGAAAUGCUUUGUUAUUGUGGGGUGCUAGAGUCGGAAACGGAUGUGUAACACGAAAGUAACCUGCCCUUGACUUUGGGCUAACCUCAGGAAACUGGGGCCACUACCGGACAGGAGCUCCUGCUGCAUAACGAGGGUUGGAAAGUGGUGGCGGUUGGAGAUGGAGUUGCGGCUUAUCAGCUUGAUGGUGGGGUAGCGGCUUACCAAGGCUUUGGUGGGUAGCCGGCCUGAGAGGGUGACCGGGGCCAUUGGGACUGAGAUAGGCCGCAGAAGCCUACGGGAGGCAGCAGGGGGGAACAUUGCGCAGUGAGCGGGAGCCUGUGGAAGAGACCCUGGGUGCGGAAUGACGGCCUGUGGGUUAUAAACCGGCGUCGCCUGAGACGAACAGUGAGUGACGGUAAUGAGUAAAGAAGCACCGGCUAACUACGUG
rnacentral:rRNA from 1 species